UAUCGACAAUCUGAGUAGCAGUUUGUCACUACAGUUGCAAAAGUUAUCAUAUGUGUAAAAUUCAUGUUGCAGUCAUAAUUCACAGGAGCGCCACCCAGGUAGCUUCCAGCUCCUUCCCUGGUAUAGCACAGCUGUCUGCUUUCAGAUUUUACUGUGCUCAUUUCUCCCACCCACACAUCUGGAUGCUCAGUACAAAAUGGACGGCCCCUCUGUCCCUGCAGCGUGCCCGGUUUCUCACCACACUGAGUAUACACCUGCAGCAUGUGGAGCCUUGCAAGAUUACUGAAGAUUCGAGUCCACCGACUUCCCUCUCACGGCCUGCAGAGCCUCCCAGCCCGGACAAAUGGGUCCCUGAGAGUCUAAAGGACCCAGAAACCCUACCGCACACAGUUCCCAUCUUGAACUUGUCCGUUUUGUACUUUCUGCCUGAGCCCACUUUGGCUUUAGGUUAUAACUUACUUCCCUGUUCUGUAGGACUCAGGCUCCAGCCCAGGACUAGGUACAUGCUAGGCAAGCGCUCUGUGCCAAACUGUACCUCCAGUCCUUUAUUCCACAAUUUUGCAUAAAUCUUUCCAAGUGUCAGGUCUACCCUUCUAUAAAACCUUGUGUUUGCAGUCUGAGCUUGGCUGUCACAUUUGAAGCGAUGACGUAUGUCUGCUCUUGAAUUGGAGAUGGCAAUGUGAUUUCCUAUUCUCUAAAGACACCGUUCGCAGGUUUCAGGUGUCCGUGAGGUGGCAUCAUAAACAAUUUUCAUGUCAGAAAGUCAAGACCUAAGUUGCCUAGGGUAAGAUUU
rnacentral:lncRNA from 1 species